rnacentral:lncRNA from 1 species
UGAGGAGAUUAUGUGUGUUUGCACAAGGACGUGGAGAUCCUUAAGAACUACAAAUUAUCAACCAGGAUCAGCUCAACGCCUUCCAGACUUCUUUGCUUUCAUGGAGGCCUGUGUUUACCUUUAUUUUAAGUGCCUUCAAGGCCCUUCUCUUGAAGCACCUUGCCUUACCAGGGGCUCCGCUCGUUUGUUCGCAUUGCCUCCUUUACUCUGAAGAACCAUCAAUCAGUUUCUGAAACAAAGCAGCCUCUGUGCAGAAUCAAAAGCCACCACAUCGCCCCUGAUGGCAAGAGGAUGCAAUGGGCAUUGUUGUUGGUACACAGGCCUUCGUCUCUUUGAGCAGCACUUCUGUUUGAAAUGAAUGAGGCAGACAUGAGUGGUGGCUUCAAAAGCGGCUACCCUCCUCUGGGCUCUUCUUGUUGAAAGUCCUGAGCAGCUCUGUUACUAGAAAGUAAAGAAAAGAAAAGGCAAAUCUGAGGCAGGCUGCAGGUUUCCUACACAAGACACUCACACCUGGCCUCAGCCAGGCUGUGUGGCUGGACAUUUGCCUUUACUUUGUAGAUUUGUGUUUGCAAGGUUAACGUGAGAGAGGCUGUUUAUUUUCUCCCAGUGAUUAUGCAUAAAAAUUACACAUACUUCCCUCACCAAGAGCCCAGCUCAGAAGUAUGACAGGCUCCUCUGUUGGCUUGUGCCUCUUAAGGGUGUCAUUGCUGGUAGGAGUAGAGCUGCCAUCACUAUUGUUGCCAUGGUUACGGCUUCUGGACCAGGGGAUUGGCUGAUCCUUGGCUCAGCUCUUCUACCCAGCUACCAUCUCCUCUACAGCAAGAGGCCUCCUUCUUCCCUAGUCCACUUUGUAUGUGGCUGGAAUGUUAGAGAGCACAUAGUUUUCCAUGGUACUUCAUGACCUUUCUUAGAUUCUUAACGACCCUAAUGUUGAAUAGGACCUAAAGUCUUGGGCUAGUGGAAAAGUUAAAACAAUGUUCAGGACUCGUAUCGAUGAUCAUCCUAAUAAUUGGUUUGAGCAUCGUCACCUUCCUCUUUUAUCUGCAGAGGGUUUGCAAUGACUGCUUGAGAAUUCAGAGCCAAAUAUCUGGCCCGCAACUGGAAAGCGAAAAGGACAAUGCACCAGGAGCAGAGGCGACUAAGAAUCAGUUUCGACUUCUCGCAGCUGUCAUUGCAGCCAAGGUUCCAGUGGGUGCAGGGCUGGAAGGAGAACCACAGGCUAAGACUGGGUCCUCACAUCUGGCUGCCCAGCAGACGGCUUUCACAGGAUGAGCAAGUGACACGAUCCGGGAAGUCGAAAAUCCAUCCUCGCUCCGUUUGUUUUUCUUAGUUUCAGUUUUUCCGUGCCUCCUAAGAAGAGCCGAGGCUGACUAGGUCUGCAGCUUCAAUACCCAUCAGGAGAGCAAACGGCUUCUCUGUACCACCCAAGCAAUCAAUUAAAUGGAGAGCGAGGCAGCGAUUCCUGACGUGGCAGAAUUUUAAGUCCAGCUGUGAAACUCCACAGUGCGGCCAGAAGUAGACAGACAAGUUGAACCGAAACCUAAGGGGCGCUGGACCACUGCCUCUCAGCAAUUUUAUUGUAAGUUGUUCCCGCUGUCUCAGAGAGAAAUUUGAGACGUGGUUAGAGAAAAGCAUGCAGCUAAUUACCCCCAUUUUGAGCAUAGAUCUUUGUUUUAAGGGACUUGCUUUAUAAGCGAUUGCCAAGAACCUUGCUUUGAAUGAUAUUUCCAGGCAUGCUAUUUUUAAUAGCAAAUAAUGGCAGUUACAUCUUACAAAUAAUAGUUUAAUAUGCUUCUAUUCCUGAGUGUUCUUGAUCUCAUAAAAUCUUAACAACAACUCUGUGAGGUUGGUACUCUUCUUAACGCGAUAUUACAGAUGAGGAAACUGGGAGCUGCCUCACCGGGUACUUAAGUACCUUACAGGAAGCACACGGCUCGUAGCUGAGAGCCCAGCUCGUGUAGCUACACCGUCUGCAUCCCAAAGGAGGCCGGAAACUAGGCCAUUCAUUUCUCAAAAGACAGAUUCUCUUAGUGGAUUAACACAUAAGACCCAACAAUAUGUUUGUUUCUUAAAAAUAGUUAUUUAUAACAAAAAGGUGCAGGAAAGCUAAAAAUAAAAAGUUUUAUUGAGGAAACUCA